rnacentral:rRNA from 1 species
GACGAACGCUGGCGGGGUGCUUAACACAUGCAAGUCGAACGGAAAGGCCCUGCUUUUGUGGGGUGCUCGAGUGGCGAACGGGUGAGUAACACGUGAGUAACCUGCCCUUGACUUUGGGAUAACUUCAGGAAACUGGGGCUAAUACCGGAUAGGAGCACCUGCUGCAUGGUGGGGGUUGGAAAGUUUCGGCGGUUGGGGAUGGACUCGCGGCUUAUCAGCUUGUUGGUGGGGUAGUGGCUUACCAAGACUUUGACGGGUAGCCGGCCUGAGAGGGUGACCGGCCACAUUGGGACUGAGAUACGGCCCAGACUCCUACGGGAGGCAGCAGUGGGGAAUAUUGCACAAUGGGCGGAAGCCUGAUGCAGCAACGCCGCGUGCGGGAUGACGGCCUUCGGGUUGUAAACCGCUUUCGCCUGUGACGAAGCGUGAGUGACGGUAAUGGGUAAAGAAGCACCGGCUAACUACGUG